rnacentral:rRNA from 1 species
GACGAACGCUGGCGGCGUGCUUAACACAUGCAAGUCGAACGAGGUCUUCGGACCUAGUGGCGAACGGGUGAGUAACACGUGAGGAACGUGCCCCAGAGACCGGGAUAAGCCGAGGAAACUUGGUCUAAUACCGGAUGUCCCCACCGGAUCGCAUGGUCCGGUGAGGAAAUGGAUUCCGCUCUGGGAGCGCCUCGCGGCCUAUCAGCUUGUUGGUGGGGUAACGCCCACCAAGGCGUCGACGGGGANCUGGUCUGAGAGGAUGAUCAGCCACACUGGGACUGAGACACGGCCCAGACUCUACGGGAGGCAGCAGUGGGAAUCUUGCGCAAUGGGCGAAAGCCUGACGCAGCAACGCCGCGUGCGGGACGACGG